AGCCUGAUGCAGCCAUGCCGCGUGUGUGAAGAAGGCCUUCGGGUUGUAAAGCACUUUCAGUAAGGAGGAAAGGUUGGAUGUUAAUAGCAUUCAGCUGUGACGUUACUUACAGAAGAAGCACCGGCUAACUCCGUGCCAGCAGCCGCGGUAAUACGGAGGGUGCGAGCGUUAAUCGGAAUUACUGGGCGUAAAGCGUACGCAGGCGGUUUGUUAAGCGAGAUGUGAAAGCCCCGGGCUCAACCUGGGAACUGCAUUUCGAACUGGCAAACUAGAGUGUGAUAGAGGGUGGUAGAAUUUCAGGUGUAGCGGUGAAAUGCGUANAGAUCUGAAGGAAUACCGAUGGCGAAGGCAGCCACCUGGGUCAACACUGACGCUCAUGUACGAAAGCGUGGGGAGCAAACAGGAUUAGAUACCCUGGUAGUCCACGCCGUAAACGAUGUCUACUAGAAGCUCGGUUCCUCGGAACUGUUUUUCAAAGCUAACGCAUUAAGUAGACCGCCUGGGGAGUACGGCCGCAAGGUUAAAACUCAAAUGAAUUGACGGGGGCCCGCACAAGCGGUGGAGCAUGUGGUUUAAUUCGAUGCAACGCGAAGAACCUUACCUACACUUGACAUACAGAGAACUUA
rnacentral:rRNA from 1 species